rnacentral:rRNA from 1 species
AAUCAACGCUGGCGGCGUGCCUCAGACAUGCAAGUCCGAACGCGAAAGUCCCCUUCGGGGGACGAAGUAGAGUGGCGCACGGGUGAGUAACACGUGGGUAAUUUACCUUCGGGUGGGGAAGUAACAGUCGGAACGACUGCUAAUACCGCAUGAUGCAGCGGCACCACAUGGUGACAGUUGUUAAAGCGGGGGAGUCGCAAGACCUCGCGCCUGAAGAGAAGCCCGCGGCAGAUUAGCUAGUUGGUAAGGUAAUGCUUACCAAGGCAACGAUCUGUAGCCGGCCUGAGGAGGGCGGUCGGCCACACUGACACUGAAUAACGGGUCA